GGGCACCGCGCCGCCGCCUCCUUCCCCAGCAACCGCGCCCGUCGCCGGCGCCACCCUGCACCCCCGCCGCCGGCGCUGACCUCCACCCCGCCGUCGGCGGCGACCUAGACCCGCGCUGCCGGUGCCGACCUCCACCCCGCCGCCGCGCCGCCCUCCACCGCCCCCGCCGGCGCUGCCCGCCACCGCGUGGCGCUCUGCCCAAUCGCAAACUCCCUCCUUCUACCCCCUCCCCUAGCCGCCGCCGACGCUCCCGCUCCCGCUCCCGCCGCCGAACUA
rnacentral:rRNA from 1 species